GCCAAUGAUGAAAUAUGGCCAAUGAAAUUUGGCAGGAUUGAGGGGGAACAUGCUAGACUCGGCCUACAGCCUAUAUCCAACCCUGUGUAAUCUUGGUGAUUGCUGGCCCUAAAGGCUUUCACUGUAAGGCCACAGGAACAGCAGAACCAACACUGAGCACAAAUUCUUUAUAGCAAUCAACUGGAGAUUAAUUGUUAUUUGCUACUGGCUAAUGUUGGACAUAAUGCAGUUCUAUUUGGAUCUGGCUGUAGGAGCAUGUCUCAGCUCUCCUGCUAAAUGUGAUUAUUCUUUAGUAAUCUGAUGGCU